rnacentral:rRNA from 1 species
UCGAGGAUCUUCGGCAAUGGGCGAAAGCCUGACCGAGCGACGCCGCGUGUGCGAUGAAGGCCUUCGGGUUGUAAAGCACUGUCGAGGGAAAGAAAAGCCGCAAGGUUUGAUCGAUCUCUGGAGGAAGCUCGGGCUAAGUUCGUGCCAGCAGCCGCGGUAAGACGAACCGAGCGAACGUUAUUCGGAAUCACUGGGCUUAAAGGGUGCGUAGGCGGGCUCGUGAGUCAGGGGUGAAAUCCCACGGCCCAACCGUGGAAGUGCCUCUGAUACCGCGAGUCUCGAGGGGGAUAGGGGCAUGCGGAACUUCCGGUGGAGCGGUGAAAUGCGUAGAUAUCGGAAGGAACACCGGUGGCGAAAGCGGCGUGCUGGAUCCCUACUGACGCUGAGGCACGAAAGCCAGGGGAGCAAACGGGAUUAGAUACCCCGGUAGUCCUGGCCCUAAACGAUGGGUACUAGGUAGUGGACUGACAUGGGUUCACUGCCGAAGCAAGAGUGAUAAGUACCCCGCCUGGGGAGUAUGGUCGCAAGGCUGAAACUCAAAGGAAUUGACGGACUUUCUAGAAGUCUCCUACAUUCCGG